rnacentral:rRNA from 1 species
CCUACGGGAGGCAGCAGUGGGGAAUUUUGGACAAUGGGGGCAACCCUGAUCCAGCCAUUCCGCGUGAGUGAAGAAGGCCUUCGGGUUGUAAAGCUCUUUCGCAAGGGAAGAAAACUUAUGAUCGAAUAAAUCAUGAGGUUGACGGUACCUUGAUAAGAAGCACCGGCUAACUACGUGCCAGCAGCCGCGGUAAUACGUAGGGUGCGAGCGUUAAUCGGAAUUACUGGGCGUAAAGCGUGCGCAGGCGGUUUUGUAAGUCGGAUGUGAAAUCCCCGGGCUCAACCUGGGAACUGCGUUCGAAACUGCAAGGCUAGAGUGUGUCAGAGGGGGGUAGAAUUCCACGUGUAGCAGUGAAAUGCGUAGAGAUGUGGAGGAACACCAAUGGCGAAGGCAGCCCCCUGGGAUAACACUGACGCUCAUGCACGAAAGCGUGGGGAGCAAACAGGAUUAGAUACCCUGGUAGUCCACGCCCUAAACGAUGUCAACUAGUUGUUGGUAGAGUAAGAUCUAUGAGUAACGUAGCUAACGCGUGAAGUUGACCGCCUGGGGAGUACGGUCGCAAGAUUAAAACUUAAAGGAAUUGACGG